UGAACAUCUCCUGCUCUGGCUGCAGCUGGGAGGGACUGCUGCAUGAGGACUGGGCCGCCUGUGAGUGCUUUGGGACGGACUUUCACGUCAGUCUCCAAGAGCACCAGGAAAAAGUCGCUAGAUUUGUCGCUAGUCGCUUUUUUGAAAAUGUGUCGCUAGAGGAGUCUGAAUACUCGCUAAAUAUAGCGACUAAAUCGCUAAAUUGGCAACACUGAGUGUCUUAGGUUAUGAGAUUGCGUGUGUGAGAGCAAGCAAUUUGCACUUGAGAGCUGUUGAAAUCCACCGUGGGUCCAACGUUACUUUAGAUUGACAUGAGAACGUUAGCUUCUUGCUAGCUGAAUACCAGUGCUCUCAGAACCACGUUGUGGAGUUGAUAACAUCAUUUGAAGCUGCUGAAUGGAUUGCUGUCUUUGGGCUGUCCAACCUGUACUGUGAUGAUGAGUACCUGCAGAUGUUUGUGGAAGCCCUAUAUAUGCUUCUCCAGAAAUUUUUAACAGGCAGCCAUACAAGGGGCUCGAUGUGGACACGGGUCCAUGCCCUUCGAUGGGCACAACCACAAGAACCUGGUCUAGCAGAUUAACACUGGAAACUACCACAAACCCACCAACACUUCAGAUGCCUGUGGGUUGAUUCGCUGGAUGCUAAUGGUGGAACCUGAGCGCAGAGCUACCAUAGAGGAGAUCACUGGACACUGGUGGCUCAACUGGGGUUAUCAGAACAUCCUACUGGCCGAGAGUGAGACUGCGACAUUGGUACAACAAAGUGAGAAGACCUCUGCAUCCGUACAGCAGUCUGGAGGCCCAGCCAGCAUUGACAGUUGGCUGCGUCGAAACUCCCAGCCCUUACUGGAGAAAAGCUCCAAGGUGCGCUGCCUGCUGCAGUUUCACGGGAGUGCAAGGAGAGCAACAUCUCCCAAACCAUGCAUUAUGCGACCACCGUUCGGCCCUCCAAGGGCAUUCUGAAGAGACGAGGCAGCCUGAAGCAGAAGGUCCUCAGAGAGGCUCCGACCCCAGUGAUAUAGGAACUAACGAAGGUCUUCGACAUCUCCCCCCUGGCCCAGCCCCCACAUGUUGCAUCGCUGCCCCGCAAAGGCAUCUUGAAGAAACCAGCCAAGCGAGAGUAUGGCUACUACUCCUCCCAAAACAACAGUGACUCUGCCCAGACACCCCAGGCCCAGCUCUGCCCCUCAGCACGCCCCACCGGAAGGGCAUCCUGAAGUGCCACAGCAAGUUCUCCUCAGUCGGACUGCAGGAGUUUAGGGCCUCUGGACCAGCUGGCGGUCUCCCUGGCAAGAGGUGGCAUCAGAGCACAACCCAGCGGAGAAAUAAGCGAGGACAGCAUCCUCUCCUCUGUCCUUUGACCAGCUGGAUCUGCCUGACUGCGUGGGACCAGUGGCGUCACUCAUGGAGUAGGUCUUGGAUGUUAGUGGCGGUCUAGCUGACCUCUGGGACGGGCAUCCCUGAACGACAAGCCCCUGGUGCCUGGGGGGAGGGGGGCAGGCUGAGCUCCAGCACACCCUCCAACUGGUCGGAGCAGCAGCAGAGAGACUCCUGUUUGAGGACAGAGCAGUAAAGAAAUUGUCUAGGAAGGGUGAAAUGAAAAGCUGUAAAACAUCAAACUUAGAGUCCUCACCAACCAAGGCCCAGAGAAAACAAUUACAUUUGUACUAUGUUUUUAAACCAGUUUGCUUCCUUAUUGAAUAAAGGAGGCCUUUUUUCUUUACCUUGUGGAAUGAACGACUAGAUUGUACUUCCAGGGAGAAGCCAGACAAACAAGGAAAAUACAAGUAUAUAUUUUUUUAUCAAAUAAAAUGUUAUUUGUCACAUGCUUCU